GAUGAACGCUGACAGAAUGCUUAACACAUGCAAGUCUACUUGAUUCUACUUCGGUAGUUGAUGGUGGCGGACGGGUGAGUAACGCGUAAAGAAUCUGCCCUUUAGUUCGGGAUAACCUUUGGAAACGAAGGAUAAUACCGGAUAUUAUGGAGACGUCGCAUGACGAUUUCAUGAAAGCUAUAUGCGCUAGAGGAGGACUUUGCGUCCCAUUAGUUAGUUGGUGAGGUAAUGGCUCACCAAGACCGCGAUGGGUAGCCGGCCUGAGAGGGUGAUCGGACACAAGGGAACUGAGACACGGUCCUUACUCCUACGGGAGGCAGCAGUGGGGAAUAUUGGACAAUGGGCCACAAGCCUGAUCCAGCAAUUCUGUGUGCACGAUGAAGGUCUUCGGAUUGUAAAGUGCUUUCAGUAGGGAAGAAAAAAAUGACGGUACCUACAGAAGAAGCGACGGCUAAAUAUGUGCCAGCAGCCGCAGUAACAC
rnacentral:rRNA from 1 species